rnacentral:lncRNA from 1 species
AGUUUCCUUUCUAUUUAACUUUAUUUUUUUGGGUAAGCCUAUGAGCAUUGAGAAGUGUGAGGGUUUGAUCAUGUUGUUUGGGCCUAUCAAAUGGAGAAAAACAUGUUUUUGUUUGUUCGUCCUAUCCAGGAUUCAUUUCUUGCCAGACAAUAGUUGAAAAGACUUAUCAUUUGUUUCAAGCGGUGCAGCUAUUUAAUUAUAGUAAUUAAUAAGAAACCGUAAUCUGCAAUUAUGCAUCCUAGUAUGUGUCUCACUGUUAUCACAGACUCAGUGAACAUGUUUCACGUUUAUUCAGGAAGAGAAACUUCAAAGGCUUCAAGAACAGCUGCAAGUACCUUAUGAUGAGACUAGCUCUGAUCAUCAAGUACUUAUUUUUUUCAUGCAGCUAUCUAGCUUUCUUAUUUAUUUAAUUUCUCUGAAUUCUUCCUCAGGACGCGUUUAGAAAAUUCAAUUCAUGAGUAGAGUAGAAUUCUUCCCAUUCAGAUUGUUUUAAGCUGGUAAUCAAAAUUACUUUCAAAAUUCUAGAAUUUUCCUGAGGCAUUUUCUUUUGUUUAGGGCGAUAAUGAUAUUUUCCUUAAACUAUGAUGAUGUUGGAAAGUUCUUUCAUUUAUGGUUGCAAUUUCUGUUUUUGGUAUGGUUAAUGACGUUCUUCACUUGAUUUUUACAAAGGUUUAAGCUCGAGAGAAAGAGAGGCAGAAAGAUAUGAUUUCUUUAUGCCAUUUCCGACCCUUUGUUAGUGAAAUGUCUCUCUUCUCUCUAGUUUUUCAUUCUUUGAAGUUAUUUAUAAUUCAUUUAUUAGACAGGAGUGGUAACUAUCAAAUUAUCCCAAAACCCUAAAAACCAAUUUUAUCAAGAUCACUUGGUUGCUUUUGUUAACCAUGUUAUUUCACUUGGUUUUUUCAAUGGUUGAAACUCUAGAUAGAGACAUAGAGGGAAAGUGAUUUCUUUAUGUCUUUCCCCCACCCUUUAUCACUGACACAUCUGCCUUCUUUCUUUCCCUGCAUUUUCAAUCUUUGUAUUUCUUUAUAAUUGAUGUAAGUAAAAAUGUUGUAUUUUUUGAGCCUAGAAAGACUAUCCCAAAAUCCCAAAAGUAUAUUGUGGCAACUAUUUCAUUCAUUUGUGUCGGUAAUGACAUUUUCCUAAUCCCAAUCUUGUUUAUUCAAGAAUGUUUGAUCUCGAUGAACUGAGAUUUUCAUUGGCUUUAUAAACCCAAGAGUUUGAUAUGGGCUGCGAAAACUGCAUAGUCCUUGCAAUAUGAAUUCUAGUUGCCUAUAAUUUGUAAAUCAGGAAGAGGCCCCGAUUUGUCGGAUCAAUAUGAAAUUCUUUAUUCACAAUGUAACAUCAGGAUGCUAGAAAAAUAAAGUUGAGCCUUUAGUUUCUUUAUGGUUACAUUAUCAUUGUUGAUUAGUGGAUGGGGUCUAAUAUAAUAUUGAACUAUCAUUUUCAGUGGAAAGUGACACGUUGAGAACUGUUAGGUUGGGAUUAGACUAUUUGUUUUCAAGUUGAGUUUGGAGUCCCCAUGCAUAAUGCCCCUUCCUUGAUUGUUCUAUUAUAUUAUCAUUAUGCGAUUUUUUAGGUGAUAAAUUAAAGAAACACAUUUUUAAAUAUAUAUUUUCUUUUGUUUUAUGUUAAAUAAAUAUAAAUGUAAAGAUGAAAAGAUAUUAUGCUUGCUUUGAGCCAUUAAAAUGUAAUUCUUACUGGAUCGACCUUCAAUUUUCCCUUUUACAUAAUUUUUUAACGUGUCAUUUGUUAGAUUAUGUGUUGCCAAACCUUGUGCUUAGGAGACUGUUGCUUAUGUAACAUAAGAGAAGAAUGUAGGUGACUCUGAUAAGCUAUAGUACCUUAGAUCAAUGCAAUUGUUAGUUGAAGGUAAUGCAUACAUUGCCUGGACCUCACUUUAUAUUUUUACAAGGUAUGUUCUAAAACCCUGGUUUGUGAUAAUUUUUUGGAUGGGCCGCAGCCAAUGGUUCAGGACAUUUUUACUUGUUUAUAGUGCAAUAAUACGUUAAAAUUGUGAGUUAUUCAAAAUCAACUAUGAAAAUGUUUUUGGACCAUUGGCCUAGUAAGUAGUAACAUCCAAUUUUCUCCUACAUUGGUUUAGUAUGGCUGUCAAAUCUCCAACCAUGACUUAUUUUAAAAGAUUAUAUUGCCAUUAUGUUGGGUUAUUCCCCAAAGCUUUAUUUAGCAUACAUGUUGGGGUAUACCCCAAAGCUUUAUUUAGCAUAUAAAUACUUUUUUUUAAACUGUUUCAGUACUCUUUCAAAUAUUGGAGCAUUGAGCAAUUUGAUGGCAGUCUCUUAUGGGCAGUAGUGUUUGGAAUCGGAGAAGAGUUCAAUACUAUUUUAUUUCAAAUAUGCUUAGGAUUAUUAACGAUCAUUUAGAAUCUGUCUCUCAAGUCAUUAGUUUUAGUAUUGUGUUGAGGGUGAGUGUUUGGAAUUGCAAAUGAAUAAUUUCUGAUUUGAAUUGUUCUUGUUGGUUUUAUUUCAGUUCUCCUCUUAUUAUCACACUUCCAACGUUGAGAGGGUUUUUGGUCCCCGUUUAUAACUUUUUCCCAUUGAUAGGUGCGAUGUUUUUGGGCUAUUUCUAUGUAUUAAGUUUAUAGCGCAAGCAAGAAUUGCUUUGUCCGAGGAAGAGAUUUGACAUUCUGUCUGUAAUGCAAAUUUUGGACUUUUUUGAAUUCAUUUGGAUAAGACAGAAUAAUCUUCUAGCUUCUUAGCAAUAAAUGAACUCACCUAAAGUGGCUUUUGAAUUGUUUUCGGCACUAGGUUGGGGUAUGUUAAAUAGUCCUUUAUACUCCACAUUGUAACUAUUACCAUAUCGUGGGUGCUUAUUUUAUAUCCUUUUUCCCAUGAUGCAGUUCGGGAAUAAAAGAAUUAUGGAAGGCCCUCUCUUUGAUUUUUGUAGGCCAGAGCCCUCCCAAGAACCAAUGGUGGUAACACCACCAUUGGAUAUGAAACAGGCUGAGUCAUCACAGCAGCAUGUGAGAGCCUUAAAUACCCAGUUUGCAAGGUCCAUAUUUUUAUUUUAUAUCAAUGAAUAUGCUUUUAAUUGAUUUGUGCAUUUCAAUUUGUCUUAUAUUGAUAUUUUCAAUGGAGGAUGACCUCUUUCAAGAGCAGAAACUGCCACAUGGUCUCAUAAAAGCAAUAAAGUUGGAUGUCUUAAAUGAGGCAGAUAUAGUUAAGUAUAUUCUUCUUUGUAUAUCUAUAUCAGCUUUGCAAUUAGUUAAGUUCAUUGUUUCUACAGCAAUGGAAUUAUAUCAAAUGGCAUGCACUCACUGUGUAACACUUAAUCGAAGAACAGUGUGUGGCUUUAAAAGCACAUCCAGUGUGUAUGUCAAUUAUAAAUCUCUCCUGACCGCCUUGUAAUUUAUUAACCAUAUAUUGGAUGUUAAUUAGUUUCACCUCUACAGGAUAAAAUGGCUGCUUUGGAGAUAAAUCUUCCGAGUGAAGGUGUGGAUGGAGUGCACAACAUGCGGUGGUAAAUCUUCAGAUAAAAAUUCUUGUGAAGGUGUGGAUGGAGAUUUUAUAUGGAAAAUGUAUUUAUAGGAUUAUAUGAUCAUUGCGAAUUUACAAGAAAAGAUGCUGAAAUACUAAUAUUUUAAUUUCAGGUCAUUACGGAGUAACCAAAUUUCCUUUUGUCAUACUCCAUCCAUAUUUUAUGUCAGAGAUUGCAAAAAUCUUGAACAAAAUUUGCCCUGGAUGUAAAUCUAUUCGACGAGAAUUACAGAACAAGGUAACACAUCAUAUAGUUAUAUGUUAUUUAUGAGCCAUAUGGCCCACUGUUGGAAGAGAAAGAUUUGUGCGGAGACAUAUAUGUGUAGAUACAACCAAUAAAAUCUUCACAACACAUGACAAAAAUUAAUUCUAGUUAAAAUUUAUUCCUAAAUGAUAAUACCAACAAACAUAAAUGCACUUAUCUCUAAAUAUGAUGUGCUGUAUACGUUUCCAUACAAGUUUUUCUCAUGUUGGAAAGAGUUUCAUAUUUUACACGAACCAUAUGGUGCCAAAUAUUUAUUAUUAUUAUAUAUAUAUAUAUAUAUUAAGUGGAAACCUUUACUUACUAGAAUGAUAUGCAAUGAUAUUCUUUAUUGCUAGCGUGAACGGCUUUAUAUUGACAAUGGAUCAAAUGUUAACUCUCAUUUUUUAUAUGUUAAAUUAUUUUUCAAAGCAUAUUAAUUGAAACAGUUUAAAUUUGUUCUACUCUCUGUGUAAAACUUGACAUUUUCUGCAACCAAAAUGGUGUUACAUCUAUUAGGUUGGAGACUUGGAGUAACUAUGGAUUUUCUCUUAGUUAAGGUUUUAAACUUUUUCUUUCAUCAGGGGCAGCAUGUCACCCAUAUUUUGUUUAGAACUCUUUUCAUUGAAUGUGAAUCAGAAGUAAAUUCGAACUAGAACAGGAGCAAGUUUUUUUAUCAGGAAAACAAUUAUUUCUAAUUUUAAUGUAUGCCUGAUCUUGUGCUUUCUUCUUUUCCCUCUAUAGAACUAUUCCUCUCAACUCCCAAUAUUUAUGCCUGCCAAAAUUGAGGUAAAAUGAUGGAACUAAGAAUUAAAAUGGAGUUAAAAAAUAGUUUUGCUCUGUUCCUUUAUAAGUUAAAUCCCAAACAAGAGUUGGGUUCUAUUCAUUCCAUUCCCUGGUUUGUAUGCAAGGGAAAGGUAGCUUUGCCCAUCUAAAAUUUUCUGUUCUGUUCCAUUAAUAAAAUUAAAAUCUAAACAGAGUGUAAAAAGUAAUCCGAUAACUAGUUGUUUAGAGUUUGCUUAAAGUACACAACUACACUGACAUGAAAAGAAUGUAGACCUUCCCUCAUUAAAGUUUAUUUUGUUUUGGAAUUUGGCAAAUAAGAAAUUGAUAAAGGUGGUUCUGUAAUACUCCCUCUGUCCCCUUAUGGAGUAUAACUGUUUAACUUAAGUCAUUUAUGACAUUCAGAAACGGAUACGAUAAGAGAAGACUUGUAUUGAAAAUUUAUAUUCACUAGUAUAAGGGACGUCCUUUUAUAUUAACCAAACUCGUGAUACUUGUAAAAAAAUACUCGUUUUCUUAUCACCAUUGUGUUUUUGGGUUUACUCAAACCAUUUAAUGGAGUCUGAUUACAAUGUUAUACAAUAAGCAGGCCCUAACUAUAUGAUGAAAUUACUAAUCUCAUGGAAUCCAUUUAGUAAAACACUUGAAGGCACGCAUUGAAAGGAGGGGUGACCAUUUUCAUAUGGUAUGUCUUUGUCAAACCUUUUCACCACAAUGGUCUAUUCAGGGUAUAUAUAUCCUAUUGUUGCUAAGUUCUGCUAGAGUUGUUUUUAGCUUUGAUUUUAUGUUAACUGUGUACAUAAGGAAACAAAUGUAGAUGAGAACCUUGUAAUCAAUUUUGUAUGCAUAUUGUAACAUAUUAUUGGAAUUCAUAUCUGGCUUCUUCAUAAGGGGACAAGUGACUGAAGAAAGCAAAACCGCAAAAUAGCAGCGCAGGGAUGUUUUUUGUAGGAAAGUUUCAGAUAUCUGCCUGGCACCUAUUACAGGUUAGAUUUCUAUAGAUUGUUAGAUUUCUUGUCUUAUUCGCACAUGUGGGAAUUGGGAUGAAUGUCGAAUAUUAUAGUCAUCCUUUAUGAGCUAGAUCUCUAGGAAAGAGGAAAAUGGAAUUUAUCGUUAGCUGCAUGGGAACACAGAAAACCUAUUUGUCAAUUAAUUCUGUGGUCGGCAUGAAGCUGGCGAUGGUAACCGGGAAAUGCAAAUGUUUAUGUCAUAACAUACUCUAUUUCUGUAAUUUGGCGUGUGCUCUCUUACCGUGAUGAGAGAAAAAGAAAUUGUUAGUAUAAUCACGUUAUGUCUUGAGAGUUGAGAUGCUAUAAAUUAGAAAUUGAAGGGUCUGUUUUGUUCCAAAGUCUUCUUUAAAAUUGAUACAAUGUUAGGUGUGAAGGCAUGUGAUUUUUUACUUUAAGACAUAAGCAAGGUUAGGUGUUGAUAUUUUUUUCCCAACUUCUUUAUUUGAAACUUAUAUUUCACAUCUUUCAUCCACAAAUCACAACUAGUAUGUUAUGAAUGUAAUAUCAUCCAUGUAUUGUAUGAUUAAAUACAAAUGAUAGAUGAUGCAAUAAUAGUAUAUAAAAUUACUACGAAUACAUUUUUUCUAAUACUUUAAUUUAUAUCUACAUUUAUUCUAAUACUUUAGUUUACAGCGUUCAAGUUAAAUAUAAAAGUUAUUAAAUAUUGAAAGAAAAAACAUUUCCAGAUUAUUAUUAUUUGAUUGUAUCCUUACUAAUUCAAAUCAUCGUAAAAAGAAAGAAAAAACUCAUUCAAAAUGAGAAAUAAUUUGCCUACUGAGAAUAUUGUUAAAAGAAAAUGUUUAGAAUCUAAAGAUUCAAACUCAAAAUAUGUUUGUUGUGGUCAGCAACAGAUUGAAUAGGUGAAUGAUAAGCCGAUAAGCUAUAAUGGGAUGUUACACUUUUUAAUCCUGUAUGCAUUGAAACAACAAGAACAAAGAAGUGCCAAGUUAAUAAUCCCCAUUUUAUUUUCAGCAAAAAGGAUAGUAGUAUAGUAUAACAAAGUGGGUACAAAAUGUAGUGGUAGCUUGGCCCUUGUGGGUGGGGCUGCCAAUAAUGUAAGUUUUUUUUGUUACAAGGCAGAUAGUGAUAGUAAAGUUGUGAUGAUAAUAUAACACUGAAGUUGAUAAAAUAAUAUUGCAUUAAAUAAUUUGGUGGAAAUUAUACACUUCUCUCUGUUUAAUUUAACAAUGAUUAGUACACCUCUUCAAAAAAUACUUAAUUUCAUUUGGUAACUCUGCUGUACCUAAUUGUAGUUCUUAGGCAAUUAGUUUUUUGGAGUUUUUGCCUAACAUGAAUGUCCUUGCUCAGGCUUCAUAGCCUCAUGUGUCAAUGAGGUGGUUUUUCUAAUCACAUUAUAGAAGGUAGACUUAGGUAUGCAUUAUAGCUUAGCUCUUCAACAAAGUUAAUGUUACUGAUUUAGCAGUUAGUACCAAUGUUUGCUAUAUGGUUGAUCAUUUAUGCCCCUUUACACCUUUUCUCGGCUUCUGUACUGCAAAGAUUUUGUUUGUGUCCUAUGCUUAUUUUUCUGAUAAUUUGUAUAUUCAGGGACCAACUAAUAUAAUCCGUGAUACUACCUGCUUACGAAGCGGCUAUCCGGGGUGUCUCUGGUACAUGGUUUACUAGUCUCCUACUGGUGCCAUGUUCAAGUUUUUCUUUACAUUGUUUAUAAAGUCUUGUAGUGAUACUCCCCCUAUCUCUCCCCUUGUCUAUGAUUCUAUAUUCAAUCAUAGUCUUUAGAUGUUCACAUCUGCGUAUUAUCAUUCUUGAGUAACAUGGAUCAUAGUUUCAAAUUGUUAUACUAUGUAGAUCCUUUUUUGCCAAAAAGAUCUUAAGCAUUGACUUAAGAAUAUCAAUAUGUUUCUUUUUUCCCACAUUGUCUUUGCUUGUCCUCAAGCACCUAGAAUAACUACUGAUGUGCAAAAGGUUUCUGUGUCUGGUUCCUAAUAAGUCAUAAAGGGUCAAUUCUGAUCCAUUCUUCCAAGUGAUGUUAGUACAGUUGCUCGAUGUUCUCUGCUCAUGGUGGUGAAACUGCUGUAUUUUUUCUUCAGGGUGAAAUUCACAUCUUUUCUGGUUCGAAUUUUGCGCCAGUUGAGAACUAUUAGAUUAAUGUUGGAUCUGGAAUUGUUGCCCCUGCAUUUUCUUCAACAAAUUGUCUAUUCAGUUUCUGUAUGGUAUGACUCUAGUAAGGAUCAUACUACAUUGAAAAUAAUCCGGGUUUUUUCCCCUACUAUUCCUAGUAGUCAAGUAAAAGCCAAUCUUUGGUAGUGUGCAAUUGCUAUCACUUAUCCUUUUAACAUUCUUAUAAAUUUAAAGCUUCUGAUUUUUUCAACUGUGCAGUUGUGAUUUGUUUAGUUUAUCUGGUUUGCAUGAAAUGGUAAUAUAUGUAACAAAAACAGAUUUUGGUGGAGCCUUUUGGUUGGAAUUGAUUGGUGGGGUGCACCCAGAGUGCUGCUGAGGAUAGUAUUGAUAUGGAAGUUUUUGGUAUCGUCUUUUUCCUAUUUCUGUUUUCAUCAAGUAUUCUCAUGGGAUUGAUUUAUUGUAACAUGUUUAAAAUUAUAUAAGGAUUAAUCUUUUUAAAGAUAUAUAUAUAUAUAUAUAUAUAUAUAUUGUGUAAUAAUUUUAUAAAGUCAAUGUUCUUAACUUAUUAAAGCAAGUAAAUGGAAUGUGAAAGGAGAUUCAAAUCUCAUUUAAUGUGAAAUAUAAUUCAAAAACAAAUAGACCAAUCAAUUAUUAAAAUAUACAAUGUGGGAAGGUAUAUAGAAAUAACAUGGACAUGUUUUGGAGGAAAAUAUUGGUUGUGGGAGUGAUAUAUGCUAUGAGGAACAUUUUUUCUUAUAUAUGUGAUAGACUAUUGAGGGGUCUCAUUCCUUUUCUGAACUGUGAUGAUAGUACAUUUUUUCUUAUAUAUGUAAUAGACUAUAUUAUUAGGCAUAAGCAUUGUGUUUAUUGAUUCUCCUUGCAGAACAAUAUAAACUUUCAUUCGGGAGAAGAAUAAUAUAAACUUCAUUGCUUUUUAAGCUUAAACAUACUUGGAGAUGGAAGGAUAAAAUGCCCAAGAGGUUGUUGUUGGAUAUGUGCUAAUGCUUGGGAAAGGAGUUGAGUGUACUUUGAUAAAUUCUUCACCCUGACAAGCAUUCUCGCGGAAACAUUAAGCAACAUUGACUAUGAAUCAAUGGCUAUGAGCAUGUAUGUCACUUGUCCUUACUAUUCAGGUCUACUUUUGUUAGAGUUUGACUAGUAUCAUUCCUUAUUUUGUCCCCUCCAUUAAAUUUAUGAUGGUCAUUAAUGUUUAUUUAUACAUAAUAUACUAGAGAACAUAUUAGGUGAGAAUUAUUGGGUACUGUAACUGAGAGAUUAGAUCUUGAUUAUUGUUUUUUAUUUAGAUGACUAAGAUUGAAAGAUAAAUAAACAAUUAUAUAUGUUGAAAUAAUUUGAAGAUAAAUGUUUAUAAUGAAAGUUGUCAAACAAAGAUGUUUAAAAUGGGCAAAUGUUUUUCAGCUCUUUUUUGACAAAAUUAUUGAAUCUUGAUUAUUGUUUCUUAUGAUGGUCAUUAAUGUUUAUUUAUACAUAAUACACUAGAGAACAUAUUAGGUGAGAAUUCUUGGUUAUUGUAACUGAGAGAUUAGAUCUUGAUUAUUGACUAAGAUUGAAAGAUAAAUAAACAAUUAUAUAUGUUGAAAUAAUUUGAAGAUAAACCUUUAUAAUAAAAGUUUUCAAACAAAGAUAUUUAAAAUGGGCAAAUGUUUUUCAGCUCUUUUUGACAAAAUUAUUGAAUCUUCUAAAAUUGAAAGAAUAUAUGAAUAUGGAGGAGUAAACAUUUUUAUGGUCAUUAGCUUUGUUUUCCUUUUGUACUAUUUAAGAAAAAUUAUAUUGAGGCAUCAUAAGUUAAGAAGAUUUCCGGUAUAUGUGCGCUUCAUGGUACCUUGUGCAUAUGGAUUAUAAUUUAUUUAAUAAAAAUAUGUGGGCUUAAUUUAUUUUCACAAAAGUUUAUAUAUUAGAAAACUAUUUUUAUUAAAAAUUUAUUUAUCACUUGUUAUCAUCAUAUAUUAAUGUUCUGAUAUUAUUAGAACCGUAAUUUCUUAAAUAUUCUAAUUACUUAAUUUUAAAAAAAUAAUAAUGAAUGUGUUUGAUAUGUUAAUUAAAAAUUUAAUUUAAAGUUAUAAAGAACAAAUGUUUACAUAUUUUAAAAAUUAAAAUGUAAUAAUAUUUAUAACUCCUAAGUUAAAGUUCAUUGAGAAUUCUUUUAGAAUUAAUGUUAUGAUCCAUAAUUAAUUUUAAUUUUAUUGAAAUAUUUUUUUAUAAAUAUAUAUUAUUACUAAAUUAAUUAUUAAAAGUUGGUAAUUGAAAGAAGGGAAAAUCAAAUUGACUAAAAGUGCUGCAAGAAUGCAAAAAAAUAAAAUAUGUAUUAACAAGGCCCAUUAAGGCCCACUAAGUAGAUUUUAUUUACAGUGUCGGUGUUUAGUUUGCUAUAUAAAGACAAGAUCAUUGGAUGUUUCAUAAGUUCUUUGAGAAAUAUGCCAGAGAGGGAGAGAGAGAACGUGAGAGAGGGAGAGAGAAAGCGAGACAUACAGUAAGAGUGGUAUGAAAUUGAACAUGAAUAUGCGAGAGUGCGAGAAAGAGAGAACGUGAGAGAGAGAGAGAAAGCGACACAGAAAGAGAUUUAUAUGAGGAAUCACAGGAAGUUGAGAUCAUAUUCCUUUGCACUCGCAAGAGAGGUAUGAAAUUGAACAUGAAUAAAAGAGAAUGAUGCAUACUGUUUAGUGUUGGAUAUGCAUGCGAGAGAGGGUGAGUGACAGAAUCAAUUUCCAAUCUUCUUCAUAAAUUACUAUAACUCAUGAUAAUGUGAGUUUGUUGAAUUUCAGCUCAUAAUAUGCGAUUUUCUUCAACUUCAACUCAUUAUAAUGUGAUUUUCUUGAACUUCAACCGAUAAUUAUGUGAUUUUCUUGAACUUCAACUCAUAAAUGUGAUUUUCUUGAACUUCAGCGGAUAGUUAUGUGAUUUUCUUGUACUUCAGCUCAUAGUGUUGCGAUUUUCUUGAACUUCAGCUGAUAAUGAUGUGGUUUUCUUGAACUUAAGCUGAUAAUGAUGUGAUUUUGUACGCAUGAAAUUGAGUCAUACUGUUUCGUGUCGGAUAUGCAUGCGAGAGAGGGUGAGAGAAUCAAUUUCCAACCCCUUCUAUCUCUCUUUUCUAUCUCAAUUUCCAAUCUUAUUCAUGAAUUACUACUUAUCUCAAUUUCCAAUCUUCAUGAAUUACUACACUUAUUGAGCCAACUUCUUAGUAUCUCAGUGAUGUGAUUUUCUUGAAUUUCACCUCAUAAUAUUGCCAUUUUCUUGAACUUCAACUCAUAAUAAUGUGAUUUUCUUGAACUUCAACUCCUAAUUAUGUGAUUUUCUUGAACUUCAGCGGAUAAUGAUGUCAUUUUCUUGAACUUCAGCUGAUAAUGAUGUGGUUUUCUUGAAUCUGAACUGAUAGUCAUGUGAUUUUCUUGAACUUAAGCUAUGUUAUUUUCAUGAACCUCAACUGAUAAUGAUGUGUGUUUCUUGAACUUCAGCGGAUAAUGAUGUCAUUUAUUUAUGACUUUCUUGAACUCCUAAAUGAUAUUGUAACAUGAAUUCUUUAUUCACAAUGGAUAGAUGGUUGGAUCGAAAUUAUAUACUUGUAGUAUGAAUUCUUUAUUCAUAAUUUGUAAAUGGAUGAUAUGCUUUUAUGAUCUCUCAUUCAAAUGCAUUUGAUCUUGAUGAAUCUGAAUUUUAGUGGCUGUUUUGGAUUGUGAGGAUGAGGUAUUGCAUGCAAGAUGAAUGAUUGUGAGGAUGAAUCUUGAUGCUAUGUUUGACCCUAGUUGCUUAUAAUUUUGAAUUCAGAUGGACCCUAAUUUUAAAAAUUACCCGAAAUGCAAUUACAAUUUAAAUCCUCAAUUCAUAGUGUUAAAUCCUUAACAUCUGAGGUUUGUGUGAUAACAUCUUUAGUGCCUGAGCCCGUGCAAGGAUCCACUGAAACAUUAAUUAGCGUUGACUCUGAAUCAAUGGCUAUGAACAACCUUUGUCCUUACUGUUCAGGUCUGCUUUUUUUUCAGUUUGACAAGUGUCAUUUGGUCAUUUUAAUUGUGUUUCAAAUUAUGCAGGCUUAUGUUGAUUUGUUUGCACUUGCAAGAGAGAUAUGAAAUUGAACAUGAAUAAAUGAGAAUGAUGCAUACUGUUUUGGAUAUGCAUGCCACACUCAAACUCCUCAAUCAGGGACUCCACAACCUGUCAUGGCAAUUUCCAACCCUUUCUAUCUCAAUUUCCAAUCUUCUUCAUAAAUUACUAUUACUCGUGAUAAUGUGAUUUUGUUGAAUUUCAGCUCAUAUCCUCCCCUCUUACAAUGGAAUCAUAUAGAGAUGGUAUUUUUUCAAAAGAAUUCUCCUUAACGGUUUUUGUAUCUUCUCUAAUGUUAAUUUUUUCAAUUCAUUGUCAGCAGUCAUAUAUGUCCCAAGCUAUGACUCAGUGAGCUGCAAGUUCAGUUCAAAAUGAGGUUGUUACAUGUGUGGAUGAAAGGUGUAAAAUUAAGUUAAAAUAUGGAAUUCUCAGUAUAUUAUUGCAGUUGUGUAUAAAAUGUUGUCAGUGUAAACUGUCUAAUUGGGAUCACUGUAAACACACUUUGACCUUCUAAUUGGUGGAAGAAAAAGGCAUAUGGUUUUGCCCCCUUUGUGGCUAUUCAUUAUUUCACUCGAGUCAUACAUUUCUUGCAGGAUGGAAGAUUUGUCACAUCCAGGUUCUUGAUGAAUUAGAAGUCUGUAUUUGUACAUGUUAUAUUGUAUUGUGCUCAACUUGCUCAAGAGCAUAGCAAGUUAAAUCUAAAGGUGCCCUGAAUUUUGUCUUCUAUGCUAUACUUGUGGUCUGAUUUUAAAUUUGAAUUGGGACAUUCAUUUAUCUGUUGUGAUUUUAAAUUUAAAUAUGGUUGUAUGGGAAAAAAUAGGGAAUCCAAAUUCUGUUCUAGCUCAAGAAGAACAUACAGUGUUAGCAUUAAAUACUAGUUAUUUGUAUCACAUUAUGAAUUUAUGAUAUGUAUUCCAUGCAGAUGGUAGUAUAUGGAAUUAGAAGGUUCUAUAAUAUUGUAUAGUAAUGAUAUGAUCUACUAUUUUUAAUGUGCUGUCAAAUUAGUUUCUGUGUCAUUUUUGUAUAUCAGGGACUCUGAGGAACAGUUCUUCUUAACUGGAAACUCUUAUUAUUUUCUAUGAAGGGGCAAGAGUUAUCUUAAAAGCUUUGAGUGAUAGGAUAUGAAGGCUUUGAGUGAUAGGAUAUGAAGGCUUUGAGUGAUAGGAUAUGAAGGCUUUGAGUGAUAGGAUAUGAUCUCAUAGACACUGUAAACUUUCUAAAUGUAUUUACUUGGUGUCCACUAAGUUAGUAGUAAUUAUAGAUGUUAAGUUAUCAAAGUUCCUCUAUAUGAUGUUUUGUAAUUCACAUUAGAGAAUAGACCAAUCUUAGAAUAAUUGAUGUCUUUAAUUUGUUUUUUAAUUAUGUUCUGAUUGAAAAUUAAAACUAACAAGUGCUUGGAGACAUGAGUUUCUGAAGAACUGCUUGUUUCCUUCAGUAUAUAAGGUGCUUAUUGUCUGUAAUGGUACUUUUCAGUCUUCUUUAUUUUACUAGUGCACGACUGAAUAUUUUUAUGCUUGAAUAUUUAUUUUUUGUGAAAGGAAGUUUAGGUAAGUUGGGUCUAUGCAAGAAUGUUUUUUACCUGAUCUCACAGAUAAGAUGCUUGUGGAAACAAUAAUUUUCUUGGUGUAUGCAGAGAAAUGCGAUGCUUUCCCCUAAAUUCUUGCCUCUGGAUGUAAGUGAUUUUUUUCUUAGGAUUUCUUCAAUAAGGGGAGAUAUGAGCUAUUAACACACUCACAAUUAAUAGAUUUCUUCUUAGUAAUAGAUGCAUUUACACAAAUUUGAAACACCUUAAGGUUUUCAUAUCUUUGCUUGUGAAAAUAAAUAGGCUGCUUUCAAUGCAAUUGUGGUAUGUAAUUCAGAUGUUAUGCUUUGGGGGGACUAUGAUGUGCCUAAAUGCAACAGCUAUAUGGAUUGACCCUCGAUAAAUCUAAAUGUAAAUUGCAGUAAGCAUUCUUUUUUCAUUAUAUUACAUAAAGCUUGAAUGUAUAUUCUUGUUGGAAUGUUUGAGCUGGCAAAAUGCAAUUGUUUCCUAAUGUAGUAAUUAGAAUUACAUGCUUUUAAGACUUAUAUGAUCCCUAAAUGCAGUAUGAGUUCUUUGUAAAUGAUAUAAAAAGUGGAUGGAGUGUUGGUAUAUGUUGUGCCUUGAUGAUCCUAACUGCAAAUGUCAAAUGCUAUAUUGAUUCUUUAAGCAUAAUGUAAAUCUAGGAUAGUCGUGGUUUACCUUAACGCGUUGUCAAAUAAUGUGACUUUCUUUAUUUGUAAUGUAAAUUUUGGAUUGUGGUUUUUUGGCCUUUAUAACCUAAAGGCAAUGGCAGCAUGAAUCUCUUCAUAAUCUAAAUUCUGGAUGGGUUUGAGCCUAGAUGUCCUUAAAUGCCACUAUAAUAUAAAAAUGUUUAUUUAUGAUGUAAAAUAAGCAUGUUAUUUUUAGCAUAUAUUACCUUAAAAGCAUUUGUAAUAUGAUAUCUUGUUUCAGAAUGAUUGGAGGUGUGAACUCUUUAUGACCCUAGAUGCCACUGAGGUGUGAACUCUUGUUUCAGAAUGAGUGGAUGCCACUAGUGUAGGCAAUAUCAGCUAUGGAGGAAGGAGAUUCUUGGGGUCAGACUGCAACAAAAGAGAAAGAAUGUGCUUCUGGGAGAGGAACAUGUCUGGCUUUGAAGCAUAAAGGAUUAAGCCUGUUGAGAUGGCAGUAUCUGAAACGAUGGUGAAAAGAAAGAACAUAUUACUGCGUUUCACCAAGCAUCUUUUUGAAUACCUGGGAUGUUGGAAUUUGUUUAUUCUUUUGCCUAUGUGGAUUAAACUGACAGUUGUUAUAUAAGGAAUCGAUUGUUUUGGGAGUCUCUUGCACUGUGGGCUGCCCUUUAAUAUAAAGGUAUAAUUGCAAGUACUUUAUCGUUGGUUUUCUAGUGGAUAGUAAAUUUAAUUGUUAAGUAUGGCAUUUGCCUAACAUGAAUGGCUUGAUAAACCUUGCUCAGGUUUCAUAGCCUCACUUAAUCAAUUAGGUGGUUUUUCCAAUCACAUUAUAGAAGGUAGACUUAGCUAGGCAUUAAAAGCUUGGCUCUUCAAUGAAGUUAAUAUAAUUGGUUUGGCAGUCAACACCCGUCUUUUCUAUAUGGUUGAUCAUUUAUGCGACCUUUAAUCUUUCCUGGCUUUUCUAUUGCAAACAUUAUUUAGGGUUUUCUAUUUGGUUUCACACCUCCAAUCAUUUAUGCUAUCUUUAUCAGAUUUUUGGGUUAAGAAUUAUUUUUUGAAUUAUGGUUCGAAGAGAAUGGCCCUUUUGUCAGCUGAGUUAAUUAGAAUGACCUGUUUUCUUUGAUUGCAUGGUCCAGAAAGUGUGUUGUUAGAGUCACUGAUACAUUAUAGGCUCGUUUGUGUCAUGUUUGUUGAGAACUUUUAGGUGGCAGAGAAGGAUUGAUGUAUUUGGACUAGGCUUCACUGAUUCUGUACAUACCUAUCGAUAUUUUCCCUUCUUUCCUCACCAAAUAAAUCCAUUUUAGCAAGCAUAUAAGUAGGUUAGCACAUUUUGUUCCACUUUCAAGUCAUCUGUGAGGAUUACUGUCUUUUUUGUAAUAAUGCUUUACUAUUGCAUGUGAUUGCUCUCUGCAGGUGCUAAGUAAUCCGGAAAAGACUCCCCUUCACACUUUCAUUUGCAACUAUGAUUUGAGUGACAUGCCAGCUGGUACCAAAGUAAGUUUUGUCUGUCUGGAUAAAUCUCUACCUCAAUUGAUUUGGGCAUUUUGCUUCUUAAUGGCAUGAUUGUUUUGAUACGGCUGACUUUAGCUCUAAAUGUUGGCUGGCCAUAUAUGAAAGAAGUAAAUUAAAAGACUAGAAUCCAGUACAUGAUUUACUUGUAAAUUGAUUAUUACAUUCAUGAGAUGGUGAGAUCAAACAACCAUAAGCAGGGCAGGGCAGUGCACGAAGAUCAUACCUAGUGGGGUCAGGGGAGUGUUGAUCUUCAAGCAUCUCUCUAGAAUCAAUGGAUUCUAGGUUGAGUAGAGCUGUUUCUUUAUUGCUAAGAAUUUAGGAAGAUUACAAAAGUAGAAUUGUUAGAAUACAAUGGAUCCCACGAUUCUCUUCUCUGGUUCCACAUCCAGAAACUUCCCAACUAAUUUUCCAUCCCUUUAUUGAAUUUUCUAACUAACUAAGGGUAUUAUUGACAAAACUACCACAUGACUACUUUUCUUUUGCCUCUUUUAUAUACAUUUGUAAUACAUGGCCUUGGCCUACCCUUAUCAAGGGUAGAUAUUUUAUUUUUUUGAAAAGUGGUUUUAAGUAAAAGUUAUUUUUAUUUUUUUAAAAAAACGACCAUACAAUUGCCAGGCUGUGUUAUUGGGUUUCAAUUUGGUUUCCCAUGUUGGGUUGCUUUUGCUGCUUGGAUUUUCAACUGUGCUUAAUGGUGCUAUUUUGUUGUUGUUUCUCAAUUUUUAAGUGAGAUUGUAUCUUGGCAAAAGGAGGAAGCUUAAGAGUGUCGGUGAUGAGAGUGAGAAUAACAGUGUCGGUAACAAAAAUGGAACACCCUCAUAUUAGGUUUUUAACUUGAGGCAUGUUUGAUCUGGUGGCGAAAACUUUGCUGGGGUCAAACAUAUCUUUCAUGUGAAGAAGCUGUUGUAAGUGGUUUCCACGUUUAUAAAGUAUAUUCAACAAUUUGUAAUACGGUUCCAAACACUCAUGGUUAAAAUUUCUAUUUGGGUACAAAAUGUUCUAACAUUUGACACUAUCUGAAUUUCUACUAUGAUAUCUGAUUUCAAAGAUCGCGAGAGAUCGAGAGAGAGAGAGAGAGAGAGAGAGAGAGAGUGCGAGAGAGAGAGAGAGAGAGAGAGUGCGAGAGAGAGAGAGAGAUUAAGCAUUAUGGAUUUAUUUAUGCCAUUCUUCCUACCCUCUCUCGCAUGCAUGUCCAACUUGUGGUUCUGUUACAGAUUAAAUUAUGUUUUGCUGUCUCAAUAUCGAAUGUUGUACCCCAAAAAUGGUUGAUGAAUUUUUGUAAGGUGUUUUUAGUUGAGCACUUGCACUAACUUACUAAUAAUACACAACUUGAUCCUAGUAAAUAAUAUAUAUAUGUGUGUGUGUAUAUAUAUAUGCCAAGCAUUGCAAUAAUGAAAUGAAUUCGAACUAGUAUAAUAAGUUAACUGAAAUAAUGUUAUCUUUGAUACCCAAAACUGGAGUGUGUGGUUGGAUUGUGUCCCCAUGAUGCAGAUAAUGAAGAACAUAAAGGAAACAAGGAAAUGGUCAAUUUUCAGCAUCAUUCUUCCUACCAAUGCCGAUAAUUUUAGAUCUUGAGAGAACAGACAAAUGGCAGUAUAACUUUAGCUCUAUAAUUCUAAUCUAAAAGAAUACUUUCAGGUUUUAUACCACAUUGGACAAUGCAGUUCCGACAGUCAUCAUGAAGAGGCAUGUUAAGCACUUAAGGUAAUUUUGAAAUGAUAUUCUAAUUCCGCAACACCCUUGACCAUUCCAUUUUCAUGUAUUCAUAUAUUAUGAAUACAUGAAAGUGUACAUAUUAACUUUUCCAUUUUGACUUUCAUACUAAGUUGUUGAGGAGUAAAAUUUGGCAACUUCUAUGGUCAUGAUAUUUUCACAGAUUUUAUUUUAUGUUCUGAUUAUAAUAUGGGUAAUUGGGUGUAGUACAUUAUAGUGAAAGUUCAUUCUUUAAGUUGAAUCACGGUGAUGGACUAUAUUUCAAGUUAUGACUCUAUAUGAUCCAUCUUAGUUAUAUUAUAGUUUCCCCCCUACUUAGUUUAUGGGCUUCUGAUUCUUUAAAUCAUUGUUUGCAGAGGUGUGCUAUUUGGUGCAUAACACAUUUGGUUGAAGCCUAAUGCUAAUAUAAUUAAUGAAACGUUCCUGUUUUUGCAAUUUGUUAUAUAGGAUAGAGUCAUUGACUUGAUUUAUCUUAUACAAUCUCUAAUUUCAUAUGAACUCCACCAAGGAGGGUAGAUUAGUCCAAUCUCGAGAGGUAGACGAAACCAUUAGUGAGUAUUAAGUAAAGGGUUUAUGAUAAGACAUUAUGGUGUUGGUCAAUAUAGCUGACCCUAUUUAGUGGAAAAAUACUUGUUGCUUUUGUUUUUGCUUAUUUCAUGGAUUGUUUCAGGGGUGCACUUGUGCCGUGCUAGACAUGCAGAAUGAGUUUGAGGAUUUAUUAUAUUUUCUGUUUUGUCUCUUGCUGUUGUUCUGGCUAGAUUCUCUGGAAACUGUUAUAGAGUUCUAGUAUACCUUUUAUUGCUAUGAUUGAUUUUUUGGUCAAUAGGCUUUGGUUAAAGGAAGUAGGUUUAUUCUUUUACUAAUUCAUGAAUCCAAUACUUAAGUAUAUAUAGUUGAAAAGGGUUUAUUUCUUUCUUUCUUAUUCACCCAAUUGGUUGUAUUAUUGAGUAUUGACCAUUGGAUUCUGAAUUCAGAUUCAUCAUACUAAAACGAAUUCUGCCAAUUUUGCAGGGUUAAGGGUUUUUAGCGAGAGUAAUGAAACAUUGGUUUGACAAUAAGUAGUCACAGAAUUAAGUAUCACUGGUGUCUGGUGUUACAGAUAUUCACAAACACAAAUAAAUCAAUUGUAAGAUUAGUUUGUGUGACUCAUUCAUCUUCAAAUAUGAUCUAUUCUUGAUUUAGAUAUUUGGUAUUUAUGUUUUGAUUCAAGUGUUGGUAAGAAUAGUUGCUAAAACUUAUGCUAAAAUUUGAAUUUCAAUAAAUUGUUUUUUAGUCAUAAACACAUCAAUUUUUCCUCUCCGGAACUAUUCACUUGUACUGUGAGAUGGAUUUCCUGUAUCUAAUAGAGUUUUAUAGUUGUGCCACUGCCUCCCAAGGCAUGUCUGUAGUUCUAUUUUAAUCUAAUCAUGUAGCUAAUUUGUUCCUACUUAUUUAUUUUCACAAUUGUUGUUCAAUCUUCAGUAAUUUUGAUAUGAACUUAUUGACAGUGACCAACUAUAUAUCAGUGCAACAGCAUGGAACAUUUUAAACAUGUAACAAUCAAGGAGGAGCACUCAUUUCUAUCAUCAAUGGUGUUGAUUUUCGAGCUAUUGGCUAACAUAAUACUCUUGGUGACAAGGCCUUUAUCUCUGCUUAAACUGGCAUACUUGAUUGGGAUCAGAACUGCGUUAAUUGUCACUUAUGCUUGGAUAUCUUCCAUUUAAACAUAAUAUUGGGAACUAUAAUAACAUGGACGUUUGGGCUUAUAUCUCUACCUGCAAGAGUUGUGAAUACCUUUCAAAGGGAGAGGCAGGCUAGUUUUCAUUCGAUAACUAUAUCAUAUUCCCUAAAUGAUAAGAUGACUGAUUUGCAUCACAGGUUUUUAUCUGCAUAAUACAUUUCAUUUUCCCCUAAGUUGUAUAUGGAUCAUGAUGGGUAGAAUUUUGUCACUGAUGAAAAUUUUAGUACAAAGUACAUGUAAGCUCUUUUUUUAAGGGUGGGGACUGGGGAUGUUGGUGCUUUUAGACUUAAUUUCCCUCUAUCCUUUGUGGACUCCUCCCAUUAUUCUUAUCCAUAAGCACAACAUUUAUUUUAAUGCAGAAUAAGCUAGAGAGUCUAAUAUGGGAUCAGAAGGAANNNNNNNNNNNNNNNNNNNNNNNNNNNNNNNNNNNNNNNNNNNNNNNNNNNNNNNNNNNNNNNNNNNNNNNNNNNNNNNNNNNNNNNNNNNNNNNNNNNNCAUUCUUGUAAGUUUCAUCUUUUUUUCAAACCUAGAAUCACUUACAAACCUCUAAACCACAAAAUAUAUUCUUUUUUUGUUUUAAAAAAAACUCAAACGGUGUGAAUGAUUCAAAUCUAAUUCAUGAAAGGCAAAAACAACAUUUAACAAAUGAGUGCCACACUUAUUUUUAAUUCACCACCAUUUUCAGAAUACAAACUAAAUGAGUUAGAGGGUCCAUUUUAUAAUAUUAAUUUUUUUUAUUGUUUUUUUAGAUUUGUUGAAUAUAUACAUAGUAACAUACAAGUUGGCAUCUAACAUAAUAUGAGAUAUUGACAUGACAUCUAAUUCACAAGUGUAAUUAUCAUAACAACUUACAUCAAUGUUUUGGUAUAUUGAAUGAGUUUAUUAUAAUAUGAUACGUGUAAUUAAUUAGUCAAGUGGCAUAGUAAGUAUAGUUUUGGCGGACAAUGUUGAGUUUGAUGCUGGGAUCUCUUUGCAUGGUUUGGUUGCCGCUAAACUUGGUGCCCAUGUCACCAAUCGUUGACUGUGAAAGGUUAGAGGUAUUAGAUACCCAUCUUUGUCAUCUUUGCUUUUAUUUGAUUAUAAAGGCUUUUAAUUGACCAAUUUCUUUGAAACCUAGUGCUUUCAGGGUUUGUCAAUAUGCAUAUUGGUUUUCAUUAGAUUUAUCAUAAUUUUGAUAGGAUAGUUAAAUAGCAAUGGAUAGAUCCUCAAAGUUAUAGUUUUGAUGAAUGGUGGCUUAUUGUUUUGGACCCGGCGGUACUUCACAACAUGAGAAGAGUGUGUUGCCUGAAUAAACUUGACUGCAAUGUAAGUUUUAUAUCAUUACAAUAAUUGUGGCAAAGCCUUCUCAUUUUACAAUUGAUUUUGUUCAUGAAAUUAUAGUACUGUAGUAGUACUGUGUCUAUUGCAUGGAUUUUAUGGAAGAUAUUGAUUAAGCACAAAUGCGCAACAAUCUCUACUUAUAUGCAUAUGUGAUCUUGAGAUUCUAUGAAUUCUUGUAAGUUUCAUCUUUUUUUCAAACCUAGAAUCACUUACAAACCUCUCAACCACAAAAUAUAUUCUUUUUUUGUUAGAUAAAUGUAUUGUCUGACUCCAAUAUGGCUUGAACUUCCUCAGAUCUUGAGAUUCUAUGUUGUUAGUUAUUUGUCCGUUGUCACCUUUGACCUUCCUCUAUUCUAUGGAUUGAACUAAUUAAUUGGUUCUUCGAUGAUAACCCUCUUUGCCACUGGCAUUCUUCUCCGAAAUUCUCCUGGUUUGGUUUUUAUAAUUUCAUACCAUAAUCAGAGUUACUUUUUAUUCUUUGUCCUACCUAUACAACCUGCAUCUAAUAAUUUUGCCCUUCAUUUUCUCUAUUCAUUUUAACCAUCUAAUCAUUUGAAAUGAGCAUUACCUUGUCGAGUUCUUGAUGGGAAAUGGGGCUUCUUAAGGUGUCUCAAUCUGUUUAAUGGGUUUUCUUUCCUGCCAUCAGAUAAAGCUUUCACGGCUAAGUGGUGACAUUCAAUCAACAGAGAGUUAUCAUCUGAAAAGAUAACGAGGUACUUCAAAGUUUAAAAUAAACUUUGAGUGAGCGUUUUUUACAGGUGAUGGUGCUCUGCUUUUAUCAAUGUUCUAUUUGUUGCUUUCUGAAAACUACAUCUCAUGUUUAGAUGAUCAAGCAGUACUGGAGUAAGAAAAUAUCAUUAUACUGAAAUACCUCCUACAGAUGGACAUAAUCCUUCAAAGUGAUACAUUAAAGGGAGAAAGAUCUGGUUUCCUAUUGCUUAAUGUUAAGUUCGGUUAAAACUUGGCAGCAACCUUUUCCGAGGAAUUUUGUCGUGUUUUAUUUCACUAAUUGAAAGUCUUGAGUUGCCUUGGGACGUGAUGUGAAUUACUGUUAUGAAUCAUAAGGUAUGUUUGUAUACCAUAUUUGAACAGAUGUUUUAAUGUUGUUAUUGGCAUCAGUGUAAUGUUUCUAUACCUUAAGAAGCCCUUAGUUUCCUUUCUCAAACAGAUACAGUUGAUGGUAAUUGCUAGCUUCAUUAUUUAUUGUAGUUCUCCCUCUCAUAUGUAUGGAACAUUUUAAACUUGUAACAAUAUAACAAUAUAACAUUAAGAUCAAAUCUCAUUAUUAUUCCGUUUUUUAUUUAAAGAAAAAUAUGGAUUUAUGUAUCUUAUCUCAUUCUUUUUCUUUUGUGUCCCUUCAUCUUCAUGUGACAAGAGAUAUGAUUCACCCGAAAAAAUUAAUAAUUAAUAUUUGAACUUAAAUAAUUUAAAAAUUAAUAAUUAAUAUUUGAACUUAAAUAAUUUUUUAAUCCAUCUGAGGUAAUGGUACAUGGAGUAUAAAAAGUGAGAUAGUAGACGUGCUUCCAAAAAAUAUAUACACCUAUUAUGUAUAAAUUUUAUAAAUUAUUAUUAUAUCACUAAUUUAUAUUUAAUUAUUAUUAACUCUUUAAAAAAUUAAUUUAAAUGAAUGAUGUAGUGACUCUAUAUAAAUUUUUAUAUUAAUAAUAUAUUGAUUGAUGUUACACUUUUUUAUUUAUUAACCUUAUGUAAUUGUGUUGGCUUCAUAGUUGGAUACUCCUGCGCAGGGGUUGGUAUGUAUUGUGUCAGGUAAAGUAAAAAUAGUAUAAUAUAAAUAUAAAGAGUAAAUAUCAUUUCAGUCUCUCAUGUAUUCAAUCAUACCGAUUUGGUCCCUCAAAUGUGAAAAACUCAAAAUAGUCCACAUAAAUUUUAAAUGUGAGUUAAAUUAGUCACUUUUACUAUAUUUUAUAAUCCGCGACAGAAACUAAUUUGACUAACAUUUAAAAAAUUUGGAGAUUAUUUUGAGUUUUUUAAUUUUUAAAGGACAAACUCGUGAGGUAAAAAAACAUGAUGGAUUGAAAUUGAUAUUUACUGUAUAAAAAAUGAGAGAAUACAAAACAAGUCUGAUUAAAAAAUAUUAACUAGUAUAAUAUGGAUCCUUCUAUUACGAUAAUAGAAGCUUAAUGUCAUUAUUUUGUAACAAAUUCUUGGUAACUCAUAUUUUCGAAGUUAUGUGUUCAAAAGUGUUAUGAACAUUAUGCUAUUGAAAUUGCUAAGUCAAAGCACUCCUUAGCAAUGAGAAAACACUAAUAUUAAGCAUUUUUACAUACUGUAUGAAUAGUGCUCUGUCAAGAUUAUCAUGAAUGCAUUCAAUGAAUUUUCUUUGAAUAGUGUUUUGGAUGAUAAUCCAAAUAUCUAUUUUGAAGGUAUAAAGAAUGAUAUAAGAAGAGAUAUAUUGAAUAUUACAAGUUUUAAAAUAUGUUAAUCUUCAAUGUUACUAUUUCAAUUGAUAAAAUUGUUGGCAAAUUAAGAUCAUGGGCAAGUAGAACUCUACCCAAUAUGGGUAGAUGUCAAUAGUGAUCUUAACGUUACAAAGUUAUUGUUGCUGAUAUUACAUACUUAUUGGGCUACAAUUUUUUAAUUUUUGAAGUUGUUUUUACAAAUAUUGAAAGAAAAUUCAAAGUAUUCCUUUAGGGCAAAAAGAAAUUUGUAUAUAUUUAUUCUUUACUAGUCAUUUUGGCUUAAAUAAAUUAAUGAAUAUUAACUCAAGGUAAAUAGUAUACUACUUUCCUUCAACAGAUAACUUAACAGAGAACAAUCAACAAGAAUAUAAAGUUACUUUUGGACAUGUUGGGUUGAGUGUUGAAUUUAAGCAUAUAACUUCAGAACAUCGAGACAACCUGAUUAAAUGAUGAGAUAACGUUACUAUAAGGAAAAUAGUAAACUUAAUACUAAUGAAAUAUAAAUCUAGUGUAAAGGAUAUGUAUUAUUGUAUGAAAGAGUACCUACACUAAGCACAAUCAGCAGAAGUAGACUGUAAUGUAUGAUUCUCUUGAUUCAGUAAUAGACAAAACUUUUGUCAAAUAUUAAAGAAAACAAAUAGAUGAUAUUACUCAGUUUAGAUUGUAGGAAAACAUCUAGAAAUGGAGGGGGAACAAGUUGUAUUUGCAAUUUAUUUAUCUUUAUAAAAAUUCAUAAGAAUAUGUAGAAACAUAAGCGUGACAAAGAUAAAGAUAUGUUAGAAAAAUAGAUUAGCUUUUUCAGGAAGAAAAGGUUAGGCUUGUAUUAAGGCUUUGUAAUAUUUUUAGCCCAAUCUUACCAUCUAGUUAUAUUUUGGCUAUAUCAAUUUAAAAUUUUAUAUUCUUUUUGUUGUUGUUUGGAUCAGAGAAUAGACAUAAGCCUAUAGCAAGUCCUUUGAAGAUAUAAUCAAUGCAAGGAAGAGCAAGUUUAGUGUGACUAAAAGUGUAAGUAAAGAAAAUUGAACAUGCAAACAUUGAAAUGGAGGAAUAAAAUGUUAUCUUGAACUUUAAAUGAACUACAUAAGCUUCAUUGAGCAAAAAUGACCAAAAAAUAUUAACUUGCUGGUAAAAAUCUUACAUGGUUAAUAAACGUCUAACUAAAAAAGCAAGCCAAAGAUUGAUCCAGUAAAAAUGUAAUAAAAAUUCAAUAAUAUAUAAUAAACUAAAGUAUGUGAUAAUGUUGCCAUAAGAAAAAUAUGAAACUUAGUGAUGAUAAAAAUUAAAUCUAGUGCACAUGGUAUUAUUGUGGUAUGACCAAGUACCUACACUAAACAUAGUGUGCAGAAGCAGGUGGCAGUGUAUGCUUGUCUAUAUUUAAGAUGUUACAUUUUAGUUAAGCAUACAUUGAAUCAUAAAUGUAUUAGAAAUGCACAAUUCACAUGGUAUUGUUGUGGUACUUCAAAUGUAUGUGUGUCCAUAUGUAGAGACUUAAGUGAGUAUUAAGAAUAAGUAGACAAUAAUUAGAGAUGACGUACCUUUUUAAAUUUCUAGCAUGGGAUUAAUAUCAAUUUGUUUCAACAUAGCCCAUGCGUGCCGAAAGUAACAACAAUGACAUUAGUAAUUAAAUUUAUAGAAAAAAUUCAUAAAAGAAAGAAGAGGUACAUUGACGUAUUUUGAAGGCCUUUUAUAUGAAGCAAUCUGCAUAAUAAAAAUGUAUAAAUUAUGAUUAUUUCCUUAUAAAAUGGAAUUAGAACAUCUUUCUAAAAAGAUUGGAGGCUAAACAUCUUUCUGUAUCACUUAGUCCAUGAUGAUGAUAACCUAAAAUGAUAUACUUGAUCCAAUUUUAAAAAUAUUUAGAAAAUCUACUAACUUGGGUAAUAUAACAUGUUUAUCUUGGCAAACAUACAACUUUUUCUAGCCAUAUAAUCAAUCCUCUCAAAUACUAGUAGUAAUAUUAUUUUCAUAUAAGAUAAUUGUACCUAUAAAUAAGUAAAAGCCCAUGUAAAUUUCUCUAUGUGGCACUAAUAAUAACAUAAUAUCUUGGAGCAACUUCUUGAUUUAAUGAACUAGAAAUCUUUCACAAUUUGUGCCUUGAGUAUUAACAAAAUCAGCUCUUGCAGAAUCUCAUGCUGAAAAACAAUUAAACUGAAUACAGGACAUAGUUAAGUUUCUCAAAAUAGCAAAUAUGCAUAUUAUAAUACUAUUAAUCAAAGGUAGAACAUAUGCAAACAUAGUAUACUCCAUCCUGUGAUGAUAUCUUAGCCUCCUCUCAAGUUUAGUAUAGACCUUUACUAAAGUCACUUACAUGCAGCAUUCACUUAAAAAUGAGUGUGAUGCUGAAGUGAAUAUAAUGUGAGAAUAACAAUAUUUUUUUAUGAAUGUCUAGUGAAUAUAAACUUAUAAAUCCAAGAAAAUUUACUCUAUAUUAAUUUAAAUAGUGUAAAUGAUAGAUAUGAUCGAGAUGUAUAGUAGUUCAAAUAAUUCAGAAGUUAUACUAAAAUUAUUGGAAAAUUGCUUAACUUACCAAAUAAGCUUGAUGAGAUAAUGACAUACUAAACAUGCAUGGAAAACUAAGUUUCAUUGAGUAAAAUUACACAUCAUAAGGGCUCAUAGAAAUACAGUAAAUAAAGUACAAUAACUUAGAUAGUGAAAAUUUAUGCUUAACUAAAAUGAUAUACUUCUCAUGUUAGAGAUUUAAGUUAUGCAUACAUUGUUGAAUCAUGCAAUUUACCUAGUUGAAUUAGUGACUUGGAUUUGAUAAUUUGCAAGAGCAUAUUCGGAAGUUACAUAUUCGCAGGUGUCCGUUCGGAUGACUAUUUUUAGCGGGCCGGACUGAGGAUUUUAGCCCAAAAACUCAUAUUCAGCCCGUUUUUCAGACAGGCCAAGACGGGCCGGGCCGGGCUGGCCCGACGGGCCAUUGUUAAAAAAUAAAAAAACUAAAGUGUGUGACACUGUGCUGUGCAAGGGACGUGUCAACUGGUUUCUUCUUUAGAAUUUACAAGUUUUAAGCUAAGAUAUUAUGUUGUUAUUGUAAUAUUGUAGACUUAUGUUUGUGAUUUUUUGUUUUAAAAGACAUCUAUCAAGUUUGUUGAUUAUUUUUUGUCUAAAAGUUUUAAUUAUGUACAUUUUGGAGGGAAGACGGGCCAGCCCGUCAACCUGCCAGCCCUGCAAAAUAUGGGUUGGGCUGGCAUUUUGAGCCCUUUUAACAAUACGAGUCGGGUCGGGCCAGCCCUUAUUUUGGCGGGCCAAUGGCGGGCUGGGCCGAGCCGACCCACAUUGUCACCCCUAUUCUUGGUGCAUGAGGAUCUUCCUCCAGUCCCAUUGUUCCUCCAAAUUAACUUUAUCAUGCACUUUCUUAUCAUGCUUUGACCAAAUCUAGUUGUUGUGUGCUUGGAUUGUGAUGAGGUUAUUCCACCAUAACUAUUGCUCCUCCAAAAUUUGCUCCAUGCCUUCCGAAAAUUUUAAUUUGCUUAAAAAAUGUUAUCUUUUUCCAUGAAAAUGUUAUCUUUUUAGUAAACAUUGAACUCAAAAAGCAACAAAUAAGUUUUAUCCACUGAAACUGCUAUUAAUAACACCAAAAUACAUGUAUACCUAAGAUAACACCAAAAAUGUUAUCUUGAGCUAAAAAAAUAGUAAAUAAGCUUCAUGGAGUAAAAAUACCCAAAAAUGUUCACUUUUUCCAUAAAAAUAUUAUGUUUUUAGUAAACAGUAAACUAAAAAAGGAACAAAUAAGUUUGAUCCACUAAAAAUGUUAUUAAUAACACAAAAAUAACAUGCAUACCUAAGAUAACACCAAAUUUGUUAUCUUGAAGUAAAAAACAAUAAAUAAGCUUCAUGGAGCAAAAAUAUCCAAAAAAUGUUAACUUUUUCCACAAAAAUAUUAUCUUUUUAGUAAAUGAGAUAAUGUGAUGAUAAAGAAAGUUCAGUGUAUGAGAUAAUGUACAUAUAAGAAGUUGCAAAAAAAAAUCAUACUUCUGAAUGUGUAUCCAUUGAUAGAUUUAACGCAGAAAGAUAUUGUGCUUGGGAUGAAGGAGGAAGAAAGGAGUUUGAGGAAGAUAAAAAAUAAAGAGAGAAACCGGCAUGAGAAUGAAUGGAAAAGAAUAAGGAGUACUUUGCCUACUCAUAAAAGCCACUAAAUGUCAAACUCAUAAAAGCAACUUUACCAACUAUGGGUGAGUUUCAAAUUUUGAAUUUGAAAACGAAUGAAAAAAGCUACUUCAUGUGUAGAGGGAUAACUUUAUCGCCUCAAAAAAUAAAAACCAACUAUAUGCUCAAACUCAUUAACAUAAUAACAUAGAGGUAUAAUAAAUGACCAAGAAAAGAGUGCAAUGAUAAAUUUAACCCUUAAAACUUUAAGUAUCCAUCAUAUAAAAUGUAUAUUUUAGUAAUACCAUAAGCUCAUUGCAUUCUUAUAUAGAGAUAGUAGAAGAUAGUAGAUUCUUACCGUGUUAUGACCACCUUUUUUCUUUAUUUAUUUAUUAUGCGCAUGAGAGGAAGAGGUAAAAAAAAUGUAAAGAUGGUGCUUUUUUUGUCCUUUUCGUGGAUAAAAUUAUGUAAUGUAGUUUAGUGGAUAACGAAAUGUAAGAGUUUGUUUGAUUACUUGAAUUAUUUUUUAUUUAGCACUUGGGCAAAAUGAAAAAUUAUAUAUUUCUAUUUCUUAAUAUUAUAUUUUGUGUGGAUAUAGAAGUCAUUAAAAGUACAAUUAAUUCAAGUGUAUCAAAGAGACUAACUAUAUGAAGAGGAAAGAAAUGAAUGUUAUGAAAAUUUAAAUUUUUUAUAUAAUGUCAGUGCAUCAUACAUUAUUCAUACAUAAUCAUUAUUAACUCUAUAAUAAUGAUAUAAUAAAUGAUAUAUGAUAUAUUGUCUGUUUAUAAAUUUAUUCACUAAUAAUACAUAAAUAUUACACUAUAGAACUUUUACAACAAUGUAUGCACCAUUACUAUACCUUAAAGUUAAAUGAAGGUAAACUCUUAACCUCUAUGUUAACGGUAUAUUAUUUUGCUCACUAAUAGUUUUACUAAUCAUUAUUUUCAUUAAUAAAUUAUUAUAUGACCUGAGAUUAAUAAUAUUAAUACAAAUAAAUUACCUAAACUUACAAGUACAACCAAUGUACAAUAAUUUCUCAUUUUUAUAAUGGAUUGUUUGUUGAAUGAGUUUUUUAGGGUUGUUGAAUAGAUGAAGAGUAUACUUUAAAUUUUCUAUUGAAUUUACAACAUAAUUAAACCAAUUUGCCAUAUAUGAUUAAACCAAUUUCUCACACAACUAUGAUAGAUGGGUUGGGUGAGAAGUUGGUGGAAUUGAUGCAGACGCUAUAAUGUUUGACUAGGUAACAAUUGGAUGUUAAUUUGUUCUAAAAUUCUAAGCUUCUUUUAAAAUCUAAGAAUAUCAUUAAUUCGAACAUUGACUAUCUGUAAUAAAAAUUUCGAUUUUCUUCUCUGCUAAACUAAUAAAUUAUCAACAACGUGUAUGUUAUUCAUAAUAGUAGAUUUUGACUUCUGUGGUUUUGUCCAAUUGAUUCUUUAGGUCGUAAGCUUAUAUUAAAUAAAAGCAUUUAGUUACUUCUCAUAUUUUUGCAGCCUAUGAGCAUGGUCCUACCAGGUGUCGUUGAGUUUAAACUAUUAGGAAAACUACAAGAUGGUGUGACAGCUACUGACUUAGUGUUGACUGUUACUCAAAUACUUAGAAAGCAUGGGGAGUUAGUAGAGUUUUAUGGUAAAUUCUAUUUUAUGCAAUGUUAUCUUUUUACCAUCACUUGCCAAGAUGAUUAAUGUUUGCUUAUUUAAUUGGUUUUUUUACCUCACUUAAGCUCUAGUAUGUAAUUUUAACUUUUAACCGAAUGAGAGUUUGAUAUCUUUGAAUAGGAAAAUUUUGGUAUGACUGUGUUAAACUCGGUUAAAUCGGAAGAAACUGAGAAGUAAAUCAGACGAUUUACUUAAAAUUAAAAAAUGGGACACUGUUCUAAUCUUUUUAUUUUACUCCAAUCCAAUAAAACAUUGAGAGAUAUUAUUUCAAUAUAAUUAUUAAUUAUAUAAAAUUUUAUAUUUAUAUAUAAGUAUAUAUUUAUUGAUACAAAAUAUUAAUUAUAUAUGAAAUUGUCUGAUCCAAUCAGAUGAUUUAACCAUUUAAAUCGGUUAAACUUUAUACGAUACUUUUUCCGGUUUAGCAUCCGACUCGAGUUUCAAAAUAUUGCUUUAUACAUUAAGAUGAGGAUUACUUCUAUGUCUUCCUAUGCUUUUUAUGCCUUUCACCCGAAUCCUUUCCACAUUACCAUCUUCAAAUUCCAAAUAUCAGUAUAACAUUAAUAUUGCUAACCGUUAACCACAUUUAAAUCCACAACAAAAUAAAAAAAUUCAAUCAAAAUUGUAUAUAUUUAGCUUUUAUUGAUGAGAAAAACCAAAAUAUUAAAUUGAUUCUUGCAGCAACAACAACAUAUCAUUGUCUCAUAACAAUACCAAUUCCUUGUUUUCUUGCAUGAGAAAUUCUUUGUUUUCAUAUAUAUAAUUCUUUGAUGAAUCUUAAAUGAGAAGAAAUAUAAGGGGAAGCCGUCAAGAGAAAUAAUUAUACUUUCAUAUCAUAUUAAAGUUUGGUGGAGUCAUGAAAGAGACUUUUUGAUGAAUCAAGAUGUCUAGAAAGAAAUGCAUGAAUAGGGACGGCAAAAAAAACCGUACCCGUGGGUACCCGCAGGUAAAAUGCGUACGGGCACGGGUAUGGGUCACAAAUGGGUACCCGUUGAUAUUAUAAACGUGUUUUUAAAAAUACCCGUAGUACAUACAGGAGGGUACGGGUAUUAUGGUACUCGUACCCGCGGGUACCCGUCACUUAUAUGAUUAAUAUAUUAUAUUUAUUUAAAAUAAAAAAUACAUUAUUCUAACAUUUAUUACACUAUGUAUAUUUUUUCCUUUUACUUUGUUUACAUAUUUUAUUGAGUUUGGUGGUGAAAUAUUCUACAAAUAUUAUUACAAGUGUAGAAACACACAUGUUUUACAAAGAAAAUAUAUAUUUUUUGUUAAAGAAAUGAGAACAAAAAAUUACACAAAUAGAAAACACCAAUAAAUUUAGCAUUUUGCCAAAUAUUUAAUCAAAAUGUACAAAAAUAAUUAAGUUUCAUCUUAUUUGAAACACAAUAGAAGUAAAAAUUUAAAAAUUUAUUUAUAAUAGAAGAAACUCGCGGGUACCCAUUUGUACCCUUGAGUACCCAGAAAUAACCGCGAAUACCCACAUACAGGUAUCCAUACGAGUACAGGCGGGUAUUAGUAUUACUAUUCUAUUUUGAAACGGGUAGUGGGUAGCUACUACCCAUGUCCGUUGCCAUCCCUAUGCAUGAAUGAGAAAUAAAAAGAAGAAGAAAUAAUAAAAUUUUCAUUAUUUCUCAUUGAAUUGAUUACAAAUAUUAGAUCCCUUUAUAUACAACUACUAAAAUAGAAAACAAAAAUUGUUAACCAGAUAAUUGAUUAACUCUGUUAAUUAAUUGAUUAGUGCACACAAAAUUCACCUAAACAAAUUGAAACAACAAACUAGUUAAUCGAUUAACUACAAUGUUAAUCGAUCAACUCUUACAAAAUCUCACAUAUUCUAUAACAUAAAAAUGAGGUUUUAUAUCAAAAAUUGUUACAUUAUUAAAAUUACAAAUUAUUUUAUAUUCAUGUAAAUAUAAAAAUAAUUGUAUUAAACACACCUAUAAUCACUUACAAACCUCUAAACCACAAAAUAUCUUCUUUUUUGUUUUAAAAAAAAAACUUAAAAGAAAAAGAAAUCUAUGCCAUGAUGUUAACUCAAGCUAAACCAAUUUUUAAACAUUUAUAAAAUAGAAAAUAUCAUGUUGAUAAGUUGAUGUGAGAUUAAAAUUUCAGGACAAGUUUAAAAAGCAACAAUGUGAAUAUUCAAAUUUAAUUCAUGUAAGGUAAAAACAACAUUUAACAAAUGAGUGCUAUACUUAUUUUUAAUUCACCACCAUUUUGAGAAUACAAACUAAAUGAGUUAGAGAGUCCAUUUUAUAAUAUUAAUUUUUUUUAUUUUUAUUUUUAGAUUUGUUGAGUAUAUACAUAGUAACAUACAAGUUGGCAUCUAACAUAAUAUGGGAUAUUGACAUGACAUCUAAUUCACAAAUAUAUUGAAUGAAUUUAUUAUAAUAUGAUAUGUAUAAUUAAUUAGUCAAUAAUACUGACCUGACAUGUAAGUUGAAAACUCCAAUAUAAACAAAUAAUAGAAUUAAAAAAUAUAGAAAUUAAUAUUAAGAUUGGUUACUAUUUAUAUUUUAAAAUAAAUAAUAUCAUCAUAAAUAUAUUAUCAUGGUAUGUCAAAGUUAAAUGACUUAAUUAUAUAUGUUUUGACAUAUUUAAUUAUAAGGAAAAAGUAUAUUAACAAAAUGUAGAACAUCAAAAGAAAAUAAUAAACUUGAUUGGAAAUUACAAAAAGGAUAAUAUUCGUAUUUAAGAUUGUUUUAACUAAAGGGAGCUACUACUUUAACAUCAUUGUAUAUAGACUCUUCACUUGAGGCCCAUUCAACGAGGCCCAUUUAAUAUAGGCCCAAUCAAUAAAGGCCCAAUCAAUAAAGGCCCAAUCAAUAGAGGCCCAAUGUUGAGUCAACUUCACGUUUGAACGUUGCCCCUUUUUCCUUUAUAAAUACCAUUCUCGUUCUCCGUUUAAUAGAGACUCAAUAGACUUUGCGAUGAUUCGUAGGAUGAUAUUGGAAUGUUAUAUCUUUUUUGUUUAUUUCUGGUCGUAACUGUCGUCUCUUUCAUUUAUAGUGAGAAAGCAAAGUGAAAGUUAUUUCUUUUGUGUUUAUUUCUUCCUCAAUGGUUGAAGCUCUAAACAGUAAGAAAGAAGAAACAAAAUUGAUUUCUUUACUCAUUUAUCACUUACACAUCUCGUUUUCUAAUCUCUGUCUUUCUUUAUAACUGAACAUUUCUGCAAUGUCUGAAAAAUUUGUAUUUCUUGAGCUUACAAACACUGUCCCAAAACCUAAAAGUAUGUUAUGACAUCAAAUUCUUUCAUUCGUGGUGGUAAUGAGAUUUUCCUAAUCUCAAUCUCGAUUAUUCAAGAAUUCUUGAUCUCGUUGAACCAUAAUUUUAAUUGGCUUUAAAAACCCAAGAGUUUGAUUUGGGCUAUAAGAAAGCUGCAUAGUGCUUGCAAGAUGAAUUCUAGUUGCCUAAAACAGAUCAUAAUGAUCAAGAACAUCAAGAAGAAGAAAAAGAAGCAGUGAAAGAGUUAAUUCACAAAACCAAAACGAUUCUGUUAGUGUUGGUUGUGGUUAUUCUGUUACUUUUGCCUUACAUUUUUGCAUCCUUUUUAAUUUUGCCAAUCAGUCAAAGUAAUUUUUGUCUUUUGAUAUUGCAAAUCUUGUCAUUUAAACAAUAUCACAUGCAUUAACACAAAAUAUUUUGGCUCAACUCCUCAUAUUUGAGGUUGUUGUGCGAAAGAAAUAAGAGCAAAGAGUCAUGAUGUGCUCUAUUUGUUCCCAACACGUAUCACUUUUUAAAGCUGGUGUUUUUGUUUUCUUUUGUUUAUAAAAUAUGUCAAAUAUAUAAGUAACUCAUGUUUUAUUUUGUCCGGUUAUGACACUUCUAUCAAAUGCGACCAUAUUAAUGCAGAUUAGAGUCUAACUCCAAAUAUUUGGGGUUGGUGUUACAAAAUAAAACUUAUCAGAAUCCUCAUUAUCAAUUUUCUCUCACAUUGAUUACUACCCAACAUGCUAUACCAUCAAUCCUAUGCUGUAUCUGUUUCCCCAUUGUUCAUUAUUUCUCAACAUGAUUCUUCAUUACCUUGCCUUAUCUCAUAAUCACUGAACUGAUUAUGAUGCUUUUUCAAAUAAAAAUCAUAAACUCCACUAAGAGGAAAUUAUCUUAGCAUGCAAAACUCUUGAAUCACUCUCUUUUUCCAUAAUUUUUUAGUAUGAAAAUGCUAGUUCUGAAAGUUUUACGGAUUUCAGAGCAACUGACAUUUUGAAUCUUAAAUACAUGAUGGAUGCCAUAAUGUCUUGCUUAGCUUGUGUAUAUUGACCGUUGUUGAUUAUAUACUGCAUUGCUUUUGCUGCAGGUAACGUUCUUCUAUUACGAAAUAACUUAAGUUUGAGUUCAGAUAUUGCUGAAGUUUCUCAGGAGAAAUUGCUUUCAUUGGUUGCUGAAAAAACAUCCUGUCUCUUUGUCCGAGAGCUGUGCAGAUGUCUCUGGAAAGGGUGAAAAAAUUCACGACCAAUCCACUCUCACAACUAGCGACCAUGAAGUUGUAGAUGACUCUCAAGGAUUUAUACAUAAUGCAGAUUCAGAUUUGUUUGGUGUCAGAUUUCAUCAGACUGAUGUCUCUGACGCAUUGCCUUCAAGUGUUAAUGGUAGUGAGCCCGUAUAUGAAAGAGAGGAAUGUGUAUUGGAUACAAGCUGUCUAUGAAGGUGAGGUGGUGCUUGCAGAACAAGCUGACAAAAGCACCUUAGCUGCCCAUCAAGGUCUGUGUUUCUAUUUGUUAAAUAACUGAAUUUGUUAUCAUCAAAUAUCACUUUUUAGACAACUAUGCAUUGUUAUCUUCAAUGGAAGACAUUUUUCCAUUUUAUGGCAUUAUAGGGGAAUUGAUAAAGACUUUCUUGAGGAAUAAUGCUAGCCAGUUGACAUUUUACGGGUAUGUUGACCUCUUGUUGGUCUAAAUAUCUUGGUUCAUUCUUGAACUAUUUUCUUUGACCCCUAUAUUUUGCUUCAUUGAUUAUGGGGAAAUUUCUCUUCACAAGUUAUAAACAGUGCUUUUGCAGCCUUUUCUGUUUACAAGAUGGGCUUAAAGAGCGUGAUAUAUAUGUUUUUUUCCGGAACAAUCAUUUCAGCACCAUGUUUAAAGUUUGGAUAAAGCUUUUGAAGAUAUUAUUUUCGUUGUUCCCUUGGAUUACUGAUAUGAGAUGCCAAUAGCACUUUCUUAUAAAUUGAGAAAAAAUUGUUACCUUUCUCUGUUGCGGUGUUUUACUUUUCAAUCAUAAAAUUAUUUAUCUUUUUUUCACAGUUUGAUGGUGCGCUGUAUCUUCUAGCUACAGACCAAGGUUACAUAAAUGAGCCUGAUGUAGAAUGGGAAAAAUUGAAUGAGGUAAACCACUUUCUUUAUGGUCUUUUUGCAUCCAGGUCAUCUUGAAAUGUUAUUGUUUUUCCAUUUUUAUUUCAAUGCUAGUAUAGGUCGGAAUUAUUUUUUCUGAGUUUAUACAGUUGUGGAUAUUCUCAAAUCAUCCUGAAAACGGGGAAAUUGCAUGCUUGUUGAAUUGGUCACUUAAGAACAAGUCAUACUCACAGCUUUUUAGGCUCUCGAAUUGAAUCUGGAUGAAUGAUUCGUUAGUGUCUUUUUACUAUUUCAUUUUCAAUCUUAAAUUUGUGAUGAUGGGGUAUCUUUCCUUCAUUAUUCUGACUGAGUAACUGCAAGGUUUAUAUCUGAUAUCUCAGCCACUCAGAGAUUCGUAUGUUCUUCCAAGUCCCCCCUUGUCUAAGUCCAAGUGAUUAAAAAACAAGCAUCUCAAUAUUAUGUAAUAUUAAAUUGCAGAAAUUAUGUUAUGAGCUUUUCUUUCAGGUUAAUGGUGAUACACUGUUUAUGACCAGUAACUUCAAGGAAUUCAAGGUAGAAGAAAGCCAUGAAAGUAACACCUGGGAUGAGAAUAAUGCUAUGACCAGUACCGAGGUAUGUAUAUUCUUUUAAAAGUGAAACAUCUAAUUUUGCAAACCAAACAGCAACCAACCUUUUAUGCCACAUGUUUCAAUUGAUAUGAAGACAACUUCACAUGUUUCAGGACUAUCUUUCCAGCAUAGAUAGUGCAUCGCUGGCAGGCUUAGAUAUCAAGUAAUUUUCUGAACUUGCUGGUGGCACAUAUGUCAUGGUUUUUAAUUUCUUCCUCCCCUUCUCCAAAAAAUGAAAUAAAAUCUAGUACAUAAGUAUCUAGAAUAUACAACAACCAACAACAACUAAGCUUUUAUCCCUGAUAUUCGAUAUUUUUUUAUCUGUACCAAAUAUCAGCUAUUUUAUACGAAACCAUGUUGCUUUGGCUAUACCUGAUAUUCGAUAGUUGAAACUUUUAAGAAUUUGAUUCUAUUGUUUCAUUUUCUUUAUUAUCUUUAUUUCUUUUCAUCUCAUUCCGACACAACCAAUUUGUAUUGUCACCUAUUACAACCAGUUCUCUCGUCUUCUGGAUUUAUCGUAUUCAAUUUAUCUCUUACUUAUCAACAUUGAGGCAUUAAACUUUUGUCUUUGUUAGUGCUGGUUGUCACCUAUUGUUUCAUUUGCGUUGCAUUUUUGUUUCUUUUUUAAUUGUGCCAAUCAGGCCAAGUAAUUUUUUAUAUUGCAAAUCUUGUCAUUGAAACAAUAUCACAUACAUUAACACAAAAUCGUGCUCAACUCCUGAUAUUCGGGGUUGGUGUUACAAAAUAUGGCAUAUACCUAGCCUCUUGGUUUGCGAAAGAAAAAAGAGCAAACAGUCAUGAUGUCUACUAUUUGUUCCUAGAAUAUAUCAAAUAUAUAAGUAACUCAUGUUUUAUUUUGUCCAGUUAUGACACGUCUAUCAAAUGCGACCAUAUUAAUGCAGAUUAUAGUCUAACUCCGAAUAUUUGGAGUAAUACUUAUCAGAAUCCUUAUAUCAAUUUUCUCUCAGAUUGAUUACUACCCAACAUGCUAUACCGUUACUCCUGUCCUAUGGAGUAUCUGUUUCCCCAUUGUUCAUUAUUUCUCAACAUGAUUCUUCAGUACCUUACCUUAUCUCAUAAUUGCAGAACAGAUUAUGGUGUUUUUUCAACAACAAAAAAAUAGUAAACUUCAUGAAGAGGAAAUUAUCUGAGCAUGCAAAACUCCUGAAUCACCCUCCUUUCCCUUACUUUGUUAUUAUGAAAAUUCUAGUUCCGAAAUAUUUACAGAUUUCAGAGCAACUGACAUUUUGAAUCUUAAAUACAUGAUGGAUGGCAUACUGUAUUGCUUAGUUUGUGUAUAUUGUCGGUUGUUGUUUAUAUUUUGCAUUGCUGCAGGUAACGUUCUUCUAUUACGAAACAACUUAAAUUUGAGUCCAGAUAUUGCUGAAGUUUCUCAGGAGAAAUUGCUUUCAUUGGUUGCUGAAAGACUACUUGAUUCCAAUGCUAAUUUGAAUGUAAGAGUUGCAUGUCUUUUAUUGUUUGUGACAAUCACUCUUACAUAAUGCAAGCAUACCUGACAAUUUAUUCUUAUGGUCUUGCAGAACAAAGAUGUUGGCUAUGUUGAAAAUCAACAACAGAACAUCGCUGAUGCAAUCGAUUUGCUCCCCAGGCUUGCUACUGGCAUUGAUGUAAACUUAAAAUUUAGGAGGUCAGUUUUACUAUUUAUAUGAUAGAUAUGUGCAUUUACUAUCACCGAUGUUUAAGUUCUGAUAAAAAAUGCAUAUUGAUUGCAGAAUAGAUUAUUUUUAGUUCACUCGAGAGUGUGCCAUAUUUGAUCCUCAGGUAUUUUGGUUACCCUCUAUCCAAAUCAAUUGGUGCUGCAUUAUCAUAUGACUGUAAUGAUAUUAUUUCUAUACUGUGGUUCUAAAUACAUUCUAUUAAGAUCAUUUCAUUUUGUUCUACUCAUUAAUUGAUAAUACUUGGUGUAUAAUUUUGUGUGUGCUUAUAUUAUUGAUUAUUUCAGGAUCUCGUUAGGUUAUUUAAAUUUCUUUUGGCAUAACUAUGGUAGAACUAACCUCUAUUAGAAUACUAUAUGAAUUACGGGAACGAAAGAUCUAGAGGAUUUUUUCUUGCCAGAUAUCAAUGAAGUUCUAAUUCUCCCAUGAAAGAGUUGCUAUAUGUAAACCCAAAUACAUCAUAGUUUUGCUCAUCAAUGUUAAUUUUAGUCUAAGGAUAUUCCUUUGUUUUCGGUAAAUGCAAGAUUUUCCGCCCACUAAUUACUUUGUUAUCUUCAAAAUGAUACUGACCCCCUCCCACUUCAUGCAAAAUGAUAAAUUUGCUGAGUGAUCAUCCUUGAAUAAUGCUAAUCAAAAUUUUGGCUGUAUGUUUUUCUUAUAUGAUGUGUGUUUUUCUUAUGUCUGAAUAAAAGGUGAAUGUUGUGACUGGGAAUGGGACCUGAAGAGUCUCUUGGCCAGAAUGAUGUGACUGAGAAUGUCAGUCAUGAUGCAUUGAUUCAGAAUGAGAGUGCACCUCUACUUUCUCCUGAAAAUCAUUCCGUCUCUUUCUCCGAGAGCUGUACAAAUGUCUCUAGAAGGGGUGGAAAAUUUAUUGAUCAAUCCACUCUCACAACUAGCAACCAUGAUGUUGUAGAUGAUUCUCAAGGAUCCAUACACUAUACAGAUUCAGUUUUGUUUGGUGUCAGAUUUCAUCAGACUGAUGUCUCUGAUGCAUUGCCUUCAAGUUUUAAUGGUAGUGAGCCCGUAUAUGAAAGAGACAAAAUUUUGUGGAUCCUGAACCUGUCUAUGAUGGUGAGGUGGUGAUUGCAGAACAAGCUUGAUAAAAGCACCUUAGCUGCCUCUGAUCUUUAGAGCUGAUGGUGAAAUUACUCCACAUCAAGGUCUGUGUCUUAUUUGUUAAAUAACUGAAUUUAUUAUCAUCAAAAUAUCACUUUUUAGACAACUAUGCAUUGUUAUCUUCAAUGGAAGACAUUUUUCCUUUUUAUGGCCUUAUAGGGGUCAAUCAAGACUUUCUUGAGGAAGAAUGCUAGCGAGUUGACAUUUUACGGGUAUGUUGACCUCUUGUUGGUCUACAUAUCUUGAUUCUUGAACUAUUCUUUGACCCCUAUAUUUUGCUUCAUUGGUUAUGGGGAAAUUUCUCUUCACACGUUAUAAAUUGUAAAUGCUUUUGCAGCCUUUUCUGUUUACAAGAUGGGCUUAAAGAGCGUGAGAUAUGUGUUUUUACCGGAACAAUCAUUUCAGCACCAAUAGCACUUUUUUAUAAAUUUAGAAAAAUUGGUUGGCUUUCUCUGUUGCAGGUGUUUUACUUUUCAUUCAUAAAAUUAUUUCUCUUUUUUCACAGUUUGAGGGUGCACGCUGUAUCUUCUAGCUACAAGUAUUAGGAUGCAGAACACAAAUAAUUUGCAGAAUGUAUUGGAGGAACGUAGUUCAGUUUUGAAUUUGACUAGGUCGAAGUCUCUUUAACAAUGACCUAAGUUCUUAGCUACACAAAACUUGAUGUUUAGGUCUGUGUCAUUUAUGAUUCAAGUUUUUUUUUCCUUGCUGAUCCAUAAUUUGUUUCAUGUAGCUAAUGCUAUGCUUGGAUCACGAUCAUGGAAUGGAGGACUCUUUAACCGUACAAAUACUAGACAAUCAUCAUCUGGAAAGUUUGUUGACUAUCCUUUGAGUCCUGUUGAGGUAAAGGAAAAAUGGAAGUUGGUGAUUUUUUAUAGAUAUUAUAAACUCUUACCUUCUUUUCUUAUAGAUAUUAAAAACAGGUAUUGUGUCAUGGUAUGUUUGUUUUUCCUUAUGCCAGACAAUAGUUGAAAAGACUUAUCAUUUGUUUCAAGCAGUGCAGCUAUUUAAUUAUAGUAAUUAAUAGGAAACCAUAAUCUGCAAUUAUGUCAGGAAAGAAACUUCAAAGGCUUCAAGAACAGCUGCAAGUACCUUAUGAUGAGACUAGCUCUGAUCAUCAAGUACUUAUUUUUUCAUGCACCUAUCUAGCUUUCUUCUUUAUUUAAUUUCUCUGAAUUCUUUCUCAGGAUGCGUUUGGAAAAUUCAAGCUUCAUUUCUGGUUCAUUUUUGGGUUUCAUUG